CCUACGGGUGGCAGCAGUGGGGAAUAUUGCACAAUGGGGGAAACCCUGAUGCAGCGACGCCGCGUGAGUGAAGAAGGAAUUCGUUAUGUAAAGCUCUAUCAGCAGGGAAGAAAAUGACGGUACCUGAGUAAUAAGCUCCGGCUAACUACGGGCCAGCAGCCGCGGUCAUACGUAGGGGGCAAGCGUUAUCCGGAUUUACUGGGUGUAAAGGGAUCGUAGGCGGCAGUGCAAGUCUGGAGUGAAAGGCGGGGGCUCAACCCCCGGACUGCUCUGGAAACUGGCAGGCUGGAGUGCAGGAGAGGUAAGUGGAAUUCCUAGUGUAGCGGUGAAAUGUGUAGAUAUUAGGAGGAACACCAGUGGCGAAGGCAGCUUACUGGACUGUAACUGACGUUGAGGCUCGAAAGCGUGGGGAGCAAACAGGAUUAGAUACCCGGGUAGUC
rnacentral:rRNA from 1 species